CGUUAUCUCAUUCUCUCCGGCAUUGACUUCGGCCGUUUCCCAUUCCUCUUCUGCCGUUCCCCAUUUCUCUCCGACAGUUGGUGCUCGAGGCGCAGGCGAUCUCUGGAGAGGGAGACGCAUCGUUAGUGGCGGCGAUUGUCUGGGAGCGAGCAGGGGAGGGGAGGAGAGGAGCAUUCAAGUAUGUGGUCGUUUUUCCCCUGGUUUAUGUGUAUAGGUUAAAGUAGUGUGCACCAGCGGUAUUUAAAUUAGUGUGUUAGUCACUGAAUGGUUCUAUGAGUAAGCAAAUUUAUUCUACUUUGUCAUGUUUUUGAGGGAGAGAUAUAUGAUCCAUCCCUGUUUUUUUUAAUGUUGGGGUUGAUGCUAUGUACAUAUAUGUACCCAUUUGUUUUGUUUGAAUCAUGCCUGCAUUAAUACUGAAGAAGUUUUUUCAGCAGACAAUAACUGAAUUAUCAGUAGUGUCAAAUCACUCAAGCAGUAACUGAAAUUAACUGGGUUUUUGUGUACAAUCUAUGCAAAUGGAGUCAUUAUUUUAAUGUUACCAAAUGGCAUGAAACUUGCUGUUACAUAUUUCAGAGUACUCAUCUCUGCAGGUGUUGUGUUUUUUCUGUAGCUUGCUUGCCGGAAUAUGCUUAUCAUUGUUUGAUGAAACUACUUUUUGCUCUGACGACAUAUCCCCCUGAUGUUUUUGUCUUUUUGUUGUGCUGCUUCAGUUUGCUUACUCCGAAAACAUAUCCGUCUGAUGAUUCUCCUGCUUUGUGCCAGCUUGUGUUCCUUUUUUAUUUAUUUGAUGUGUAGGAUGGUGUGCACAAUCUGCCAUUCGCAUUGUGAGAGUGACAAUGAGCAGACUUUUCGCAUUGUCAUCCGUGAUGACUACGAAGCUUUAGCGAACAUCCCAUGCACUGAAAGGAAUAUGUUUAACCAGAUGUCUGGGUUGAACUAUAAGGCGGACGACCGUAGGUAUGUUUUUGAUGUGUACAGGGGACACGAAGCCACACUGAUUGGAGGUGAUGAUUGGACCAAGUUCAAGCGCGACUUCGACGUGGGGCAGGGCAAUGUAGUUGUUUUUGACAUGACUGGUGAACAGCAAAGGUAUAUGUGGCUGGAGUUGAGGCUGAAGAAGAGGGAGGAGCUGCUGAAGAAGUUGUUACAGUUGAUGAAGAGGAAGAGGUUGUCAAUGAUGAUCACGGGCUUGAAGAUGCACUAGCAUUUGUGAACACCAGGAGUUUUGUCUUUGAGGAUGGCGAAUUCGCAAUGAUGGAGCUCAUUCUCACUAUCCAACAUUUAUACAUUGGCCCACCCUUUGUGCAUCGUCCGACCACGAACAUUGCAGGCAAGCUGAUGAAAAUCCCCAAGAAGCUAGCUCAACCACUGAACUUGGACACAAAAGGUGUUCUUGGCCUUUGCAUGGGUGUGGGAGAUGUUAUGCAGGUUGCGUACCACACGGACCGUGACGGACGCAUCGUUUUCAACCAAGUCUGGGGUGUUUUUGUAGCCCAGAACCACCUCUAGGUGAAUGAUGCUGUUGUGUUCAACUUCAGGGAGAUCAAUGAAGAACAUAUCAGCCUAGUAUGCGUCGUCAACGCUUUGAGGCCCGCAGAAGCAUAAGGAUGGGGGCUGAUGGAGAUUUUUGUGCCAGCAUAUUUUAUUUUAUUACCUCAUGUUCAGAACCUUUUUAAUGGUGUGGCAGAAGCAAAUGUUUAGCGGUGCUACCGACAAUGUGCUAUCAUUUUUUUUACUUUUGUUGUUUAUGAGGUGGUUAUUAGAGAUGAAUUGUCAAGUUCCUAUGUUGUCCCACCAUGACCUGGGAAUCAAAUGCAGGACUUUUGAACUUA